AAACUACUCCCUCCAUCCAAAAUUAUUUGUCGGAGAAAUGGAUGUAUCUAGACGUAUUUUAGUUUUAGAUACACCUAUUUUUCAUUCAUUUGUGCGACAUGAAAUUAAGAACAGAGGAAGUAUAAG
rnacentral:pre_miRNA from 1 species